CUCUGCCUCCCUAGUGGUAGGAUCAAAGGUGUGUUCCACCCAUCCUGGCUGUUCUCUGCUUCUUGAUCUGUCAUGAUGUGAACAGACUGUCAUGUGCUGCUACUUCCACGAACUAAGCCGCUCUGCCUUGUCAAAGCACUGAAACCCUCUGAAACCGAGAGCCAAGCAGGAGCAAUUGCUAGUGGACCCCGAGGAAGCCUUCGGUCCGGCGCAGACCCCAGAUGAGCACACUCUAGCCAGCUCAACCCAGGGCAGCGAAAACACACCUCCUGGAAUCAGCAUUGAUGGGGCUCUGAAUGGACCCUGCAGGAAGCUUCAUGGAACCCAAGGAGCAGGGGCCUAGGAGCUCCCUCUGCUGAACCAGACCAGCCCCCCUCACUGAACAGGAGCAGCACAGCUUUCCUGUGAGCUGGGGGUUGCUACCCAGGGACACCGAGCCCCCGAAGGACAUCCUGAGCACACUGCCUAGAGAUGCACAGCCUUCCUCGGGUACCCAGAGGAGGUACUUCCUGAGUCAGGACCCAGCUCCUGACCCCAGGAUACAGAUACUCUCAAGCCCAGGUACUGCUGGAGUCCUUUUGAUCCCACAGCAACCUGAAGAAAUCAGAGCCACACUUCACAGAUCCAGAAACCGCAGCCUCAAGUGAGAAGGAAUGUUUCUAUGGAGGCAGUGAAGAGAACUCAGGGCACUUCAGCCUUUCCUCCUGGUUCCAUUAAAGGCAGGGGAGUGGAGUCUUCAAGAGUUGGGCCUCUAGCUCACAGAGGUUCCCUCCAGGCUGGCCCCUCUUGACCAUGAGACUCUGAACUUAGCCUCUGAUUCUCUUUCUCCCCUAAGGAGAGCAGUGGCAAUCCCACUCUGGGUGCUCAGAACAUGUAGCCCAGGACUAGGACCACAGCGCACAGAGCACAGUAGAGGAUGAAUGGGGUUCCGUCUGCGCAGAGGAAGGCUCCCUUCCUGUCACGCUGGGGGAAUCAGACAUGACAGACUAGGCCAGAGUCAGGGAGCCAAACCAAGAGUGAGGGAGGCAGCCAGGCUGCAGCUCUCUCUGCAACUGCUGCAGCUUUCAUCUUUGGUUUAGAAAAAGCACGCCUGUUCAUUCUCAACCUGCGUGAGAAGUGACCACAGCCCGGAAGCCUUGGCCAAUGGAAGAGCCGACCCACCCGCUCCUCCCAGGCAGGGCUCUGAGCGGAGCGGAGGCCAGCAGGCAACGCUGUCCUUCCUUAAUAAUGAGCGAGCAAAACUGAGCUAUGCCAGUUCCAGAUGAGAGGCAAACUGCUGAGGGGAGAUAGGGCUGGGCCCAGGAUGCCCUGGCCUUCCUGUCUCCACGGCACCUCUGUGAACAGAUGGCCACAUGCCACAGCAUCAUACGACCAGAACAUCCCAGGACCUGCUACCGAAACCUCGCCUCCCUCCUCCUGUCCCCGGCGGCGGCGCACCGCCCACUCCCGGGCUCCAGAAGAUGCUGUGGGGACGAGCUGUCCUGCAACCCCGCCCCCCCCCCCAGCUCCAACGCCAACCCAGCAGAAGUCUCUCGGAGGACACAGAAGGCCUCAGAACCGGAAGAUUCUGUUUGUUGAAGAGAACAUUGAAUCAACAGAAGUUCCAACAUAUUCCCUGUUUUGGUCGCACAUGCCUUUUCUUGAAUGGGUUACAAAAAGGAAAAAUAGGGAAAAAAAAUGUGUGUGUGUGUGUGUGUGUGUGUGUGUGUGUGUGUGUGUGUGUGUGUGUGUGUACUCAGUGCCUAGGGGCCAAGCCAGAAUUGGACAAAGCAGGGGAAAGGCAAAGAGGCAUCCUUGUCCACUACCUCUUCUGACUUGGUCUUCCCUUGCCAUGGUGUACACACCUCCAGAGACUUGCUCCAGUGUCAGAGAGGCUCUGGGGGCAGAGAGCCAUGCCCUGGAGUAAGACGAGGCUGGAAAGCCCAGUUCUGUGAGUCACUGACCUUCUGGGCCAGAGUUCCUAUCCACAGAGCAACAGCACCAGGCGCUGGGUUAUUCUCAACAAAAUGGAGAGUAUCGCAGCCCCGCCGCCACCACCGCGGUCCCCCAGAUCAUUCUUACAAGCAUUGCUCCUAAGUGAGGGCAGGGGUGCUGGUUAGGAAGGUGCCAGGAAGGCCAAGGGCUGUGAACAGGGGCUCGCCUAUCUGCCUUAGUGCCUUCUCCAGAGACUGUUGGCACCAGGCGCAGUUCUGAUCCUUGGAAAGUUCUCUCUGGUGUUAAGAUCAAAUCUGCCCGUCUUUCUCUGCACAUUCUGACACUCUGUCCUCUGUGACCCCUAAGUCCCUCACCAGCCAGGAAGAGAGGCCGAGUCCUAAAGAGAGCUCUGUGACCUGUUCAAGUUCCCCCACAACUC